CCCUGCUGCAGCUCCAUGCUGUUCCCUAGGGUCCAGUUACUGUCACCAGAGAGAUCAAGCACCUGCCCCUUUGCUCCCCUUGUCAGGAAGCUGUAGGCCUGAUGUCUGAAUGGUGUCCAAAAUAUCAAAUCAGGGAACAGCUGUAGCCAAGUCGGGAUGAGUGGGAAAAAAUGUGAAUGAGGACAAGUUGUUUAUUUCAGGAGGAGGCUGGACAGGAAAAAGUCAGCUACCAAGGCAUCUGUUGGGUCAUUGGGAAGAUGAGGUCAUGGCCUGGGUGUCUGCUGAGAAAAACCAUCAUCGACACCACAGUAGCUCCGGUGGGUGUGUAGAGGCACAAUGUAGAUGCUAGAUGGAGUGCUGUGGGAUUGUCAGGCUUCCAAAGGGUGACAGAACCGAGCGAUAAAUUUUGAUGCCAUAAAGUCACAUCUCCAGGCAAUGGAGUGUGACCUCACAACCCUCUACUGCAUAGAGUGGGCUGACAGUAGAGCCUGCCCCAGCCUUGCUUGUUCCUGGAUUCUGGCUAAGUGUGUUUUCAAGGCCUGGAGGCUUCAAGUGAGGCUCUGAUUUUGCUAUGGGGCAGCUAUCAGCUGUACACAGUGCUAGUCCUCACAUCAUUGCCAACAUUUCCCCAGCCCUGCUGGUUCAGUGAAUGGCUGUGGCCUCUCCUUGCAGCAUGCAACACCCAGUGGCACCAGUGAGGGGAGCAGCUCUUCACCUUCGGCUCCUCCCAGCCCACUGCACUGUGAAGAACACAGCUAUGGAGGAGUUCAAAGGGAGUCUGCAUCCUGCUGAAGCUGUCACACUCUGAAUGAUGAACUUAUUAGCUGCAGAAAAAGAACAGAUUACUAUUACUCGACAGUCUAGCAGCUGGCUUCUCUUUCUUGGGGCUGGAUGGCAAUGGAGACAGUGCAUGACAAGCAGCCAUGUCCAUUUCAUCAGGAAAGUUUUACCUAAAGGAAAAGUGCUAAAACAGCUGAGAAAACAUAAGGUGCUGAAUGACUUCAUCACCCAGCUAGGGCUCAUCACUUGAAAAUGCCUCCCACACUCAACUUUACAUUUAGUGGCUGAUAUUUGAUCAAGCCAUUUUUUAAUUUCAUUAGCUUAUGUGAAAACUUAUGCUUCUUCCUUUUUACAGCCGAGAUCUCACUCAUGAUAAGCAAAUUAAAAUUUAGCUUCUGCCAAUGGUAUUUCUCUUCUGUCUCUUUCGG
rnacentral:lncRNA from 1 species